AAUCAGCAAAUCUUCCUCAGCUGGAGUUGCCGAUCGAAUGACGGAUGUAGCCGGCCGUUGCUGGGUGUUGACCGAUUUCUCCAUGUCGACCAAAUUUCGCAGAUUUGGUUGUCUUCGGCGAGAUGUGCUACCAUGACGACGACCGGUUUGUUGCGAAUGUGUUUGGCUCUGGCGGCGUAACGGAGCGUGUUGAGAGUCUCGGACAAAUUGGAUCUCGCCGGGGACACGCACGCCACCUGACCAUCAAACUUUUGUUGAUGUUGUUGGCCUCUUCGAGUGUUUUACCCUGGCUGUUGGUUUUCUUGGUCAUUUCGCUACCGGCCAGAUCGACAAAGUUGAUUUUGCCAUGCCGACUCAGUUCAUUCGUCACCUGCAAUUCGGAGAUGACGUGAACGGUGAGAAUGGUGUGACUGCGGCUGGAAUAGUCGUUCAUGCUGUGACACAAUCAGACGAGAAACCUACUAUGUAGAAUGUGCACCCAAAUGUGAACGGAAAUUUGAUUACCCGUGACUGCCGACAGCUCGGUUCUUCAUUCCUUCCUCUAGGACGGCCAGCAGAUCGUCGAAUUCCUGGAUGCAAGUGACACACACCACAAAGUUUGGUAAGUACUGUCAUCCCGUGCGAAUGUUUGCGGUGCGUGAUGCAAGGGCGACACCACCGUUACGCAACUCUACUGACAAGUAUAUGUUGUUUUACCUCGCAUUCAACUGUAAAGAGAUUCUGGACGUAGAAACCACCGGCGACUCUUGACCAACGCACCUGCAGCGGUUUCUUGAAGGUGCUGAG